rnacentral:rRNA from 1 species
UACGAAGGGGGCUAGCGUUGCUCGGAAUCACUGGGCGUAAGGGGUGCGUAGGCGGGUCUUUAAGUCAGGGGUGAAAUCCUGGAGCUCAACUCCAGAACUGCCCUUGAUACUGAGGAUCUUGAGUUCGGGAGAGGUGAGUGGAACUGCGAGUGUAGAGGUGAAAUUCGUAGAUAUUCGCAAGAACACCAGUGGCGAAGGCGGCUCACUGGCCUGAUACUGACGCUGAGGCACGAAAGCGUGGGGAGCAAACAGG